rnacentral:rRNA from 1 species
AUGACAAGCACUUUGAAAAGAGGGUGAAAAGAGCCUGAAACCGUUACGGGGGAAGCGGAUUGCAUUGGAUUUGGACCGGGCGUCAUCGUGUUCAGCCUGUUUUGUCUAAAAAUUAGGUGUAUUCACGUUUUUUGAUGCUCAACCGUCGUGGGUUUUCGGGCGGUGAUACUGUUUUUUUAUGGUGGCCGUCUGGGGACUGAGGGCUCCCCUUUUUUGGGUUGAGGACGACGGUGUGACGAUGCGAUACGACCCGUCUUGAAACACGGACCAAGGAGUCUAGCGCGAUUGCGAGUCGAAGGGUGUGAAACAAACCUGUGGGCGUAGUGAAAGCGAAUUGUUCUUUGUAACAGAAAAACGGACAGUUUGAGGCGGCAUAAAAUCGUUGAUUUUAGGUCUGACCUUGAGCAGUUGCGCUGGGACCCGAAAGAUGGUGAACUAUGCCGGAGUAGGGCGAAGCCAGGGGAAACCCUGGUGGAGGCUCGCAGCGGUGCUGACGUGCAAAUCGCUCGUCGAACUUGGGUAUAGGGGCGAAAGACUAAUCGAACCAUCUAGUAGCUGGUUCCCUCCGAAGUUUCUCUCAGGAUAGCUGGGUGAUCAGCGUGUUGUUUUGUGC